CUCUCCUCCCUCUCAACACAACCGAUCGGGAUCUUGAGGACACAGGCAGAGGCAUCAAAUUACCCAUUAUAGUGGAUUUUCUCAGUUGUUUGCCCCAUAUGGGAGAAACAGCAGGUUGGGAUGAGCACCAAGACAAACAGGAUUUGGCUAGUAUAGGCUUGCUUGGUGAGUUAGCCGCCCACAUAAAUGUCCCUUUGAGCAACGUGAUGGAGACGUUCCCACAGAUCUCUGUUGACUGGUUGCCCCAUGGACCAAGAGCCAAAAGCAAAGUGUGUUUCCUCUGUCUUCACUGUGCAUACUGUAUACAUGUUAUCAGCGCUGGCAGACUUUGUUGAAGAACUGGUUCUGUUUUUAAUUUUAAAAAGAGCGAUCUUAAUAAAUCGUUUAUUCUUGACAUUACCUUGAAACCCUUUGCGAUGUAGAUGAAGCAUCUGAUUAUGUCAGAUUUUUUUAUGCUGCAUACAGUAAACACACUGUCUGCAUCUUUACACAACAGAGAGGGAAAAAAAAGUUCAGUUUCACGCAAAAGUAUUGUGGUUUAUGUUAAAGGCUAAAGUGGCACAUGUGAAAAGGGCCCUUCCGCCACUCGCCUUCUUAAAGCGUGACAAAAGCGUGACAUUAAAGGCAGGAUAUGAAAGAAGAACAGGAUGAGGAAAAUAUGACAAAGAACUUUUUUUUUAAAAGUGUCAUUAAUAUGUGCUUUUACACACGUCUGUAUGUAUAAGUAAUGUUUUUAGAGAAAUAUUUAGAGAUGUUUUAGAGAUAUUUAUAUGUAAGGUAUUUUUAAAGAGUGUAAUAAAUAAUUAUAAAAUGCUAAUCUUGAGAAAUGGCAAGUACACAAUUGACAGCACUUCCACAUAUACACAGUGCCAUCUGCUGCCUCACAUGAGAAAAUUCAACCCAGUGCCUCUUAAAUAAAACACCACGAGGCAUCAAUAAUUCACACUUCGCUCGCUUAAAUUUAUGUGAUGGUGCUGGCAAAUGAUCAUUUUUCUACUUUUAAGUGUUCCUAAAAUGUAAAUAUUGUGCUGCCUGUGUAAGAUAUAACGCUCUACAAUGUUUUGAUAUACAGUAAGCCUUCUGGCAUUGCUAGAUUUGUUAGGGAGACUCUGUUGUGGAUGUCUUAGUAUUUUUCAUCUAAAGGAAAAUAAAUAUAUAUGCUGAGAGCAAAAUGACAUACCAACAAAUUAAACAAUGUAUCUCAGUAAAGAUUUUGAGUGUGAAUAUUUCUAAGAGUGUGAUGAAUGAAUGUGGGACCUUCUUAGCUGAUGUCUGUCAGUAGCAGUAGGCUGCGCCACGUGUGCUUUUUUUAAAAAAAACAUUUAUCUGGUAAAUUAGGGUGUAGUUCUUCACACUGGGGCAAAUCUGUUGAGUUCACAAUUCAACAGAUACAACAACAGAUGCUUUUAACAGUCAUGUGUCUUAAAGCUUAAAAGUCCUUUUAAUCACUUUAAUCAAAGCUUUGUCUUGUGAUAUGUGGUAUGUCUCAAAUUUCCUGCUAGACAAGCCAUGCCAGUGCAUACAGCUCUUCAGACUCUUCAGACAUCCAUGUGACACAAUCACAUGGACGUCGGUGACACCUAAGUCAAAAUCUUGUCUUAGCAGUUGCAUAUUUUGUUUUUAACUUACUCACAGCGGUUUCAAUGUUGCAGUAUUUUAGGAUUGGUGACAUGGUAAUGGAGACAGCUGAUGAGCUGUGGCAAUCCUUAAAGGGAGGAAGCGAAAGAAGAAGAAACGUACUUUUUUUCAGGUUUGUAGUUUGAAAUCAGAAGAAGCAGUGGCUGUGGUGAACUUGGUUUUAGUCUGCUCAACAGCAGCUUUUUUAAUUAGACUUUCCCUGACUGGUGAAUAUCCACAUCUAUCCCAGGCCAUAUAUGCUUACACAGAUGCACCACACUUCUUUAUGAGUGUGAAAUAGAUGUGCCCAUGUGAAGAAAACACUCAAAGAAAAGACACAGCCACUGGCAUGACUCUCAGUGAAUCAGUGGGAUGAUUGAACCACAUCUUUAUUAACUUUUAUCUGUACAGAAAAAAAAACCAGUCACCAGAUCAUGCAAAGCAGGAUUGCAUUACAAAUAAAAACACAAUAUAAAACAAACAUUUUAUACUUUACCAUAAAUAUGGAACCUCAAAAAUAAAUAAAUAUAUUACAAAAAAAUAAAUAAACUUCUGACAAAUACAAUAUGUCAAAGUUUACUUGCAACAUAGUCAUGGAAAUGGAUAAGCCGACAGGUUGAUAUGCAGGUCGUAGGAUUUGUUUUUACGCGUACGUUCUUGAAAUGCAACAACUGAACCAAAAAUGACCGGUGAAGGUAGAGGGUUCAAUCCAGGCUGCGUAAAAUUCAUUGCACCUAUACAUACAAGGCUAAGGACGAAACACCAACAGUUGUGAUAGUACUCAGAUCAGAUGCUGACUGCACGUAAAGAGCAACCUGGAGAGUCACCAUGGAAAGAAAUCUUAAAGGGAAUGUAAGAGUAAGGUAUUCAACACAUACACAGAUCCCGUAUGUAUGAUAAUAUAAUAGGGUGACAGCACUCAACAGUCAUGUCGAGGUGUUAUUGCACUACUGUCUCAAUGUCUUUUCAUGAGAAUAAUCAACAAAGUACAAUACUGUUGAUAGAUCUACACAGAGGUGAAACAAGAAAUCACCAGUCACAACUACAGACAUGAGUUACCACGUGAAAUGCAUUCAUUUACUCGCCAGCCAUGCUCCUCCUAAACAGCAGAUUCCAAUGCUCAAAGCUUCAUAGUGAAUGAAUGCAUUUUAAUAUGCAAUUGACCCAGGUCUGCACAGCUAACACACAUAGCUGUGAAUUGAAAACAUGUUCACAAUAAGGCUACAACAUCUAGAGAGAGAGAGAGAGAGAGAGAGGCAACGGAGGGCAAAGUCUAACAUUGAUAGAGCUCUCACUUGCUCCAAAAAGUCACACACUUGGAGGAGCCAUGCACAACAAGUGAACACAAAUGAACACACAGAUAUCCCCCCCCUCCCCCCUAAAACACACGCACACA